rnacentral:rRNA from 1 species
AGGACGAACGCUGGCGGCGUGCUUAACACAUGCAAGUCGAACGGAAAGGCCCGCUUGCGGGUACUCGAGUGGCGAACGGGUGAGUAACACGUGGGCAACCUGCCCUCAGCUCUGGGAUAACUCCGGGAAACCGGUGCUAAUACUGGAUAUCGACUUCUGCCUCGCAUGGGGUGUUGUUGAAAGUUUUUCGGCUGGGGAUGGGCCCGCGGCCUAUCAGCUUGUUGGUGGGGUGAUGGCCUACCAAGGCGACGACGGGUAGCCGGCCUGAGAGGGCGACCGGCCACACUGGGACUGAGACACGGCCCAGACUCCUACGGGAGGCAGCAGUGGGGAAUAUUGCGCAAUGGGCGGAAGCCUGACGCAGCGACGCCGCGUGAGGGAUGACGGCCUUCGGGUUGUAAACCUCUUCAGCUCUGACGAAGCGAGAGUGACGGUAGGAGCAGAAGAAGCACCGGCCAACUACGUGCCAGCAGCCGCGGU